rnacentral:rRNA from 1 species
GCUGGCGGCGUGCCUAAUACAUGCAAGUAGAACGCUGAAGAGAGGAGCUUGCUCUUCUUGGAUGAGUUGCGAACGGGUGAGUAACGCGUAGGUAACCUGCCUUGUAGCGGGGGAUAACUAUUGGAAACGAUAGCUAAUACCGCAUAACAAUGGAUGACACAUGUCAUUUAUUUGAAAGGGGCAAUUGCUCCACUACAAGAUGGACCUGCGUUGUAUUAGCUAGUAGGUGAGGUAACGGCUCACCUAGGCGACGAUACAUAGCCGACCUGAGAGGGUGAUCGGCCACACUGGGACUGAGACACGGCCCAGACUCCUACGGGAGGCAGCAGUAGGGAAUCUUCGGCAAUGGGGGCAACCCUGACCGAGCAACGCCGCGUGAGUGAAGAAGGUUUUCGGAUCGUAAAGCUCUGUUGUAAGUCAAGAACGAGUGUGAGAGUGGAAAGUUCACACUGUGACGGUAGCUUACCAGAAAGGGACGGCUAACUACGUGCCAGCAGCCGCGGUAAUACGUAGGUCCCGAGCGUUGUCCGGAUUUAUUGGGCGUAAAGCGAGCGCAGGCGGUUUGAUAAGUCUGAAGUUAAAGGCUGUGGCUCAACCAUAGUUCGCUUUGGAAACUGUCAAACUUGAGUGCAGAAGGGGAGAGUGGAAUUCCAUGUGUAGCGGUGAAAUGCGUAGAUAUAUGGAGGAACACCGGUGGCGAAAGCGGCUCUCUGGUCUGUAACUGACGCUGAGGCUCGAAAGCGUGGGGAGCGAACAGGAUUAGAUACCCUGGUAGUCCACGCCGUAAACGAUGAGUGCUAGGUGUUGGAUCCUUUCCGGGAUUCAGUGCCGCAGCUAACGCAUUAAGCACUCCGCCUGGGGAGUACGACCGCAAGGUUGAAACUCAAAGGAAUUGACGGGGGCCCGCACAAGCGGUGGAGCAUGUGGUUUAGUUCGAAGCAACGCGAAGAACCUUACCAGGUCUUGACAUCCCGAUGCUAUUUCUAGAGAUAGAAAGUUACUUCGGUACAUCGGUGACAGGUGGUGCAUGGUUGUCGUCAGCUCGUGUCGUGAGAUGUUGGGUUAAGUCCCGCAACGAGCGCAACCCCUAUUGUUAGUUGCCAUCAUUCAGUUGGGCACUCUAGCGAGACUGCCGGUAAUAAACCGGAGGAAGGUGGGGAUGACGUCAAAUCAUCAUGCCCCUUAUGACCUGGGCUACACACGUGCUACAAUGGUUGGUACAACGAGUUGCGAGUCGGUGACGGCAAGCUAAUCUCUUAAAGCCAAUCUCAGUUCGGAUUGUAGGCUGCAACUCGCCUACAUGAAGUCGGAAUCGCUAGUAAUCGCGGAUCAGCACGCCGCGGUGAAUACGUUCCCGGGCCUUGUACACACCGCCCGUCACACCACGAGAGUUUGUAACACCCGAAGUCGGUGAGGUAACCUUUUGGAGCCAGCCGCCUAAGGUGGGAUAGAUG